AUCCUUUGAGAGCAUACAUCUUUUCUCCCAUUUUUUGGUUUUCAAUAUGUUGAAUCUAUUCAAUAGUGUUUAAUCCACAUAUGAUUUUUUACUUUUUCAACACUCUCAUCGUAUGUGUUCAACAGUUGAAUAAUUUAUUCAACACUCUCAUUACAUAUAGUCUUAUUAUCAAACUCAUAGUUUGACAUAUCUCAGUCAUCAUAACUCACAACUCAGACAUAGCAACCCUCAAACUCAUGC
rnacentral:sRNA from 1 species